rnacentral:rRNA from 1 species
UACAGAGGUCUCAAGCGUUGUUCGGAUUCAUUGGGCGUAAAGGGCGCGUAGGCGGUCAGCACAGGUCAGUUGUGAAAUCUCCGGGCUUAACUCGGAAAGGUCAACUGAUACUGUGUGACUAGAGUGCGGAAGGGGCAACUGGAAUUCUCGGUGUAGCGGUGAAAUGCGUAGAUAUCGAGAGGAACACCUGCGGCGAAGGCGGGUUGCUGGGCUGACACUGACGCUGAUGCGCGAAAGCCAGGGGAGCGAACGGG